GACGUAGGGCGCGAGCGUUGUCCGGAUUUAUUGGGCGUAAAGAGCUCGUAGGCGGCUUGUCGCGUCGACUGUGAAAUCCCGCGGCUCAACUGCGGGUCUGCAGUCGAUACGGGCAGGCUAGAGUGUGGUAGGGGAGACUGGAAUUCCUGGUGUAGCGGUGAAAUGCGCAGAUAUCAGGAGGAACACCGAUGGCGAAGGCAGGUCUCUGGGCCACUACUGACGCUGAGAAGCGAAAGCAUGGGGAGCGAACAGG
rnacentral:rRNA from 1 species